AGUUACAACAGAAACGGCCUUGUUGGCUAAGAAGAGCCAAUCAAGUAUUUACAUCUCAUCUUGCUAUACUCAUUAAAAAUCCGCCCCCCUCUGCUUCCCUAUCUGUUCUAAUAUCACACACAAAGAUCUAUCCACACACCAACACAACGAGCUUCAUUCAAAAACCCUAAUUUUAAUGAAGCUCUCGAUCCCCUGUUAAUUCUGAUGAAGAUGAAGACCGCAGCGCCACUGCUGAUGAACCAGUCGAUGAUGAAAACGAUGAGGAUUAUGCUUCAAGGAUGGAGAUAGAUGAUUCAAUCAACUAUUUGAUUAGAGGAAAUACUAUCGAUGGGCCCAAGUGCGUAGCCUCAAGUUUUGAUGAUAGUAAGUGAACCCAUUUAUGAAGCUGAGAAAAGGGACAAUGACACAAGUUGUAUUUCGUGUUGUUUGGAACUCUUUCGGAUCACUUUGGUUGUUAUCAAGACCCAUUUCAAAAUUUUCUACAUUCGUUUAAUAUGUCCUUAUAUUUUGUACUUCUUUAUGUUUGAUUUUUCACGUCAGAUGGUCUGCUCAUAAUUAGGUUCAGACUAAUUCAGAAGCUGCAUGAUAGGCUCUUUUCAUUGUGUUUUCUGCCAUUUUUCCAUGUCGAGUUUCUCUACGAAAAAAUAAAAUACCAAGUUGUAAGCUCCUUCCAGCCUCAUUGAUUAGAGACAUAAUGCGGCAUCUGUGGACAUGGCCGAUAUCGAAUGUAGACGUAGUACAAGACAGCUGCUCUACAUUAUAAAGAUUAGAAAUUUCAGGAAACCACAUUGACCUCUAGAGCAAAUUUAGUAGCGUUACUAUUGAAUCUCGCAAAGUAUAUGUUAACUAUUCAGAGUGAAUUGCUUACGACCCGCAGCGAAGCGCGGGCAUCCCCACUAGUUCUUAUCUUUUUAAAAUGUUCAAAAUGCGUUGAGACUAA